CGUAGGUGGCAAGCGUUGUCCGGAAUUAUUGGGCGUAAAGCGCGCGCAGGCGGUCUUUUAAGUCUGAUGUGAAAGCCCCCGGCUCAACCGGGGAGGGUCAUUGGAAACUGGAGGACUUGAGUGCAGAAGAGAAGAGCGGAAUUCCACGUGUAGCGGUGAAAUGCGUAGAGAUGUGGAGGAACACCAGUGGCGGAGGCGGCUCUUUGGUCUGUAACUGACGCUGAGGCGCGAAAGCGUGGGGAGCAAACAGGAUUAGAUACCCUGGUAGUCCACGCCGUAAACGAUGAGUGCUAAGUGUUAGAGGGUUUCCGCCCUUUAGUGCUGCAGCUAACGCAUUAAGCACUCCGCCUGGGGAUACGGCCGCAAGGUUA
rnacentral:rRNA from 1 species